AUUCACGCACUAACCCACUCAUUCACACACCAACUCACCCACUCAUUCACACACACCCGCUCAUUCACAAACCCACUCGUUCACACACCCACUCACACUAAAUCCCUCAUUCACACACUAACCCACUCAUUCACACACUCACCCACUCGUUCACACACCCAUUCACACAACUCAUCCACUCAUUCACACACCCAUUCACAAACUCGCCCAUUCGUUCACACACCCCCUCAUUCACACACCCUCAUUCACACACUAACACACUCACACUAACCCAUUCACACACUAACCCACUCGUUCACACACCCAUUCACACACUCAUCCACACAAUAACCCACCCAUUCAUGCACUAACCCACCCAUUCACACUCAUCCACACAAUAACCCACCCAUUCAUGCACUAACCCACUCAUUCACACACCAACUCACCCACUCAGUCAUGCACUAACUCACCCACUCAUUCACAUACUAACCCACUCGUACCCACUCAUUCACACUAACCCACUCGUUCACACACUAACUCAUCCACUCAUUCACACAUUCACCCACUAACUCGCCCACUCGUUCACAAACUCACCCACUCAUUCACAAACCCCUCAUUCACACACCCACUCAUUCACACACGAACUCACCCAUUCAUUCACACACCCACUCGUUCACACACCCACUCAUUCACACACUUAACUCACCCACUUGUUCACACAUCCACUCCUUCACACACUAACCCACUCAUUCACAUACUAACUCGCCCACUCGUUCACACACUAACUCACCCAUUCAUGCACUCACUCACACACUAACCCACCCAUUCACUAACUCACUCAUUCACACACUAACCCACCCACUCAUUCACACACUAAUCUACCCAUUCAUUCACACACUAACCCACCCACUCAUUCACACACUAACCCAUUCACACACGAUCUCACCCAUUCAUUCACAAACUCACCCACUCGUUCACAGCCACUCAUUCACACACUAACUCACCCACUCAUUCACACACGCACUCAUUCACACCCACUCAUUGACACACUAACUCGCCCACUCGUUCACACACUAACCCCUUCACACACACACUAACCCACCCAUUCACUCACUCAUUCACACACUAACCCACUGAUUCAUUCACACACUAACUCAUUCACACACUAACUCACCCAUUCACACACUAACCCACUCACACCCUAACACCCACUCGCUCACACACCCAGUCAUUUACACACUAAGUCACCCACUCGUUCACACACAUUCACACACGAAUUCACCCAUUCACACACUAACUCGCCCACUGAUUCACAAACUCACCCACUCGUUCACACACUAGCCCACUCGUUCACACACUAACCCACUCAUUCACACACCCAUUCACACACUAACCCCCUCACACACUAACCCAUUCACACGCUAACUCACCCACUCGUUCACACACCCACUCAUUCACACUAACCCACCCACUCAUUCACGCACUAACCCAUUCACAAACUCAUUCACACAAUAACCCGACUCAUUCAUGCACUAACCCACUCAUUCACACACCACCCAUUCACACACCCACUCAUUCACACACUAACCCACUCAUUCACACAUCCACACACUCCCUCUUUCACAAACUCACCCAUUCACACACUAACCCAUUCGUUCACACACCCAUUCACAAACCCAGUCGUUCAUACACCCAUUCACACACUAACUCCCUCAUUCACAAACUCCCUCAUUCACACACUAACCCACUCGUUCACCCAUUCACAUACUAACCCACUCCUUCACACACCCAUUCACUCAUUCACACCCACUCGUUCACACACCCAUUCACACAAACCCAUUUGUUCACACACCCAUUCACACACUGACCCACUCGUUCACACACCCACUCAUUCACACACUAACCCACUCAUUCACACACUAACCCACUCACUCACUGGUUCCCUCACUCACCAACUCGUUCACCCAGUCAUCUGCAUACUAAUUCACUUACCUGCUCAUCCACCCGUUCCCUGACUCACCCAUUCACCCACUCAUCAUUCACUCACUCCUUAAGCACCCAUUCAUUCACAGCUCACCCACUGUCACCCACCCAUUCAUUCGCCUACUCAUGUACUCAUUUACCCCUCAGCCCUCACUCAUCACUGUCACUCACUCAUUGUUCAUUCACCCGUUCACUCAUUCACACACUCAUUUACACACUAACCCACUCACUGUCAUGCAUUCAUUCGCCUACUCAUGUACUCAUUUACCCCUCAGCCCUCACUCACCACUGUCAUUCACUCACUCAGUCACCGUUCCAUUCAUUUAUUCACCCGUUCACUCAUUCAUUCCCUAAUUCACCCACUCAUCCUUCACCCAUUCACUCACUAAUUUACACCAAGUCACUCCCACUCAUUCAGAUACAGGCUGGUCCAGCGACAAGAUCAUCUGGUAGUCAAAGUCUACACUCACACAAGAAAGAACAAGGCUCUUGGUUUCUGUGACCCAGGCCUCUGUCUGUGUGUCACCUUUGUCACCCGGUCUCCUGCAGUGAAGCCUUUCUGGUGCCAGCAUGGUGGGAAGACUGGGCCAAACGGCAGGUAGAGCUGCCCCAGGAGCAGGCUGUGUGCCGGGAGUCCUCCGAGGAGCCUCUGCCUCCAUCUUGCCUGCAGCACAGCACGGCCUUCCUUUUGGUGGCACCCAUGUCCCCCGACAGGUGUGGCCCGGGAGCCAGAGAGGGACCUGAUGCCAUCCUGUGCUGUGUCC
rnacentral:lncRNA from 10 species